rnacentral:lncRNA from 1 species
AGGAAAUAAGAGAGGAUACAAACAAUGGAAAAACAUUCCAUGCUCAUGGAUAGGAAGAAUUAAUAUCAUGAAAAUGGCCAUAAGACGGUGUGGCGAUUCCUCAAGGAUCUAGAACAUUUCCAGAAAUGCCAUUUGACCCAGCAAUCCCAUUACUGGGUAUAUACCCAAAGGAUUAUAAACCAUUAUACUAUAAAGACACAUGCACAUGUAUGUUUAUUGUAGCACUAUUCACAAUAGCAAAGACUUGGAACCAACUCAAAUGCCCAUCAAUGUUAGACUGGAUAAAGAAAAUGUGGCACACAUACACCAUGGAACAUUAUGCAGCCAUAAAAAAGAAUGAGUUCAUGUCCUUUGCAGGAAUAUGGAUGAAGCUGGAAACCAUCAUUCUCAGCAAACUAACACAGGAACAGGAAACCAAACACGACAUGUUCUCACUCAUAAGUGGAAUUUGAACGAUGAGAACAUGAGCACAAGGAGGGGAACAUCACACUCCGGGGCCUGUCAGGAGGUGGGGGGUAAGGGGAGGGAUAACAUU